UCUUCCGUGAGGGAGAAUCUGAAGGAAGUCGGACGCAAACACUUGCACUGACGAACAGAAACUUCAUACUAAGGCUCGGUGAAAUGGAUAAGUCUACAACACAAGAUGAAGUCCAAUACUGCCCGAAAUUUCAUUGAGUAAAUGAAGCAGUGACAUGAGUGGAAAGUGACUACU
rnacentral:ncRNA from 1 species